rnacentral:rRNA from 1 species
UACGUAGGGGGCGAGCGUUGCCCGAAUUUACUGGGCGUAAAGCGCACGGAGGCGGCUUCGUAAGUCUGGUGUGAAAUCUCACGGCUCAACCGAGAGGCUGCACCAGAUACUGCGAAGCUCGAGGACGGGAGAGGAGACUGGAAUUCCCGGUGUAGCGGUGAAAUGCAUUGAUAUCGGGAGGAACACCAGUGGCGAAGGCGGAUCUCUGGCCCGUUGCUGACGCUGAGGUGCGAAAGCUGAGGGAGCGCAAGGG